rnacentral:rRNA from 1 species
UGGGGAAUAUUGCACAAUGGGCGCAAGCCUGAUGCAGCCAUGCCGCGUGUGUGAAGAAGGCCUUCGGGUUGUAAAGCACUUUCAGCGGGGAGGAAGGCGGUGAGGUUAAUAACCUCGUCGAUUGACGUUACCCGCAGAAGAAGCACCGGCUAACUCCGUGCCAGCAGCCGCGGUAAUACGGAGGGUGCAAGCGUUAAUCGGAAUUACUGGGCGUAAAGCGCACGCAGGCGGUCUGUCAAGUCGGAUGUGAAAUCCCCGGGCUCAACCUGGGAACUGCAUUCGAAACUGGCAGGCUAGAGUCUUGUAGAGGGGGGUAGAAUUCCAGGUGUAGCGGUGAAAUGCGUAGAGAUCUGGAGGAAUACCGGUGGCGAAGGCGGCCCCCUGGACAAAGACUGACGCUCAGGUGCGAAAGCGUGGGGAGCAAACAGG